CGGAUGGAUUAUUUGCAGUCUUGAAGUGUUGUCGUUGGAAGUUUCAAUUCUUUCCUUCCCUGCCCUCCAGUGAAGCAACACCAUGAAUGGCCGGUUCUGGAUUGACAAAUGUUCUCCGUGGCUCUCCCAGUCCCUUCCUUACACUCGAGCUGCUCAG